CCCAACCCAUAAUCCGGUCGGAUGGGGUUAUAUAAUUAGUGGGAUAGGGUUUCCUAAACAAGGAUCCCUAUUUCUCUCUUGCUAUCUCUUCCUUGUCUUAAAUCUGCCGCUCCUUUCAUUUUCAUGUUUCCUCCUUGGCCAAAUCCAAGUCUCUGUUUGAUGCUUCUUUGGGUUAUCAACAAGCUUGGCUUGAUGACCAGUAUUCCUCUCUAUUUCAGCUACAAAGAGUUGGAUGACAGUGCUCAUCGUUUUUGCUGAAGGAUCUUCGACUAAAGGACUGCAGUUUCUCCUUCAGGUGGUCUUGGGUCUGAGUGCAUAGGUAGCUUAGAUCGGCCCCAUGAAAGUGAGAUGAAGCUCUUUUCAGGUUUACUCGCUCCACAAUGAAUCAAAAUCCUCCAUUUUGUCGAGUCCAUUUUUGUUGGUUGUAUUAGAAUAGGCUAGAUAGCAUCUCACCUUUUGUUGCUUUAAAACUUUGUGUAAAUAUUGUGAAUAUUGCUGAUGUGAAAAACUCAUGCUAUAGCCUUCCCUGCCCCUUAUUCUUUCAAUGGUGAUAGUCCUAAAUAUGGGCAUUUUAAUUUGUCACUGUUUAUAAUCCUCUUUCCCUCUAUAUCCAUGCUUUUAAAGUCUGUAUACGUGCAAUUACCUCUGUCUAUUACCCUGUUAGCUAUAUGAUCUGCUAGUUGAUUACCUUCUCUGAGUAUAUGCCAAAAUAUGUAUAUUCUAUCUUUCAAGCAUGCUUUGAUUUCAUCCAUCAUAUCUUCAAUUAUCCAUGGACAUGCCCAUUUGCCUUGUAGAACAUUACACAGUAGUAAUGAGUCGAUCUGUAUGAUAAUUUGAUUGUGUCUCACCUAUUUGGAAUGCUUGCAUGCUUCAAGAAUAGCUCUUGCCUAUGCUACUAUAUUUGUAGUAUUCCUAAAGAAAUGUGGAUCGGGUCGUACGUUCCUCGAUAUUAUUUUAAAUUAUGGAUCGGGCCGAACAUUCCUCGGUAUAUUUCACUAUGUGAUAAUGGCACCGAGUCCCAUAAAGGGACCGAGUGCGGUAUGUUAUGUACACUACUCUUUCACCGAGUCCAUCACUAAAGGGCCAGAUACUUACGUAGGCAUGCAUAUAAAAUAUAGGGAUACACUUGUGACCCCGAGCCCCAUAGUGGACCGAAUGUACUAUGAUGACAUAUACGAUAAGAUUAUGCCGUAUACGAUUAUAUAAUGCCGUAUGCAAUGACCUGAUGAAAUAAUAUACAUGAUGAAAUGGGAUGAGGCUAUGGUCAUAUGGUAAUAUGAUGAAAUAAUUAUGAUCUCGAGUUCCUUAGCGAGUCGGGUACAGUGUAUGAGGAUGUAUAUGACUAUGUGUCCUAAGGUGCAGGUACAUUAAUUUGUUAAUUAUUACACUUGUCCCUUGCAUCCUUAUUUCAGUUAUGGUCUUAGUUAUGAUGUGUUAUGUUUUACAUACUCAAUAUAUAUGUCGUACUGACCUCCAUUUCUUCGAAGGAGGGAGCUACAUUUAAUGCCCGCAGGUACAGGUACUUACUUUGGAGAUCCACCAGCUUAGGACUCCCACUCAGCUAUGUCGGAAGUGCUCCUUUAUUCCGGAGCCUGGAUUUUGGUGCUAAUCAUUUAAUGUAUAUAGUUGUUUAUUCAGGGAUACGACGGAGGCCCUGUCCCACCUUAUAUUUCUAUUUCUUUUUACUCUUAGAGGUCUGUAGAUAUGUAUGUGGGUUGUAUAUGUAUGUAUGAACAGUUGUGUCUAUAUGUUACGAUAGCCUCAUCGGCUUAUAUAUUGUCUUGCAUGUUGGCACACUAUUACUGAAAUAGGAGACAUAUUUACUUAUAGUUAGAAAGGGUACACGCGAGUGUCUAAUUUGAGCACCCGUCAGGUCCUAUAGGGUUGGGUCAUGACAGAAGUGGUAUCAGAGCGGUCCCUCCUCGGAAUGUAUAUAGACCGUGUAUUGUAGAGUCUUGUUUAUCAGUGUGUUGCGUGCCACAUCUAUAAAUAGGAGGCUACAGGACAUUUAGGAUGUUACCUUUCUUUCAUAUCUAAGAUCGUGCGAUAGAGCCUAGCCAUAGGACAUGAAUUCCCUUUUUAUAACCUUUGAUUUCAGCUGAGGAACGACAUCGAUAGAGGAACGCAAUUGAUGAUAUUGAGAGCUACACAGUAUAGGGGUAAGCAAAGAUAUGAAGGAGAUAUGUUGAGUAAGGUGUUGAGCUUGAAAUGUAAAGUUGAAAAUUUAAAGAAAAGUAGAUAAGGAAGUGUAACAAAUGCAAUUUGAGGUGGACACAUGAGGUAAGUCCAUUAUUUUCAUACGGUUAUUGAUAUUGAAAGCCCCGUGUGGCUGUGAUAGGCUAUGAUAUGCAUAUAUAUAUAUAUGUUGUCCCUAUGAGGUAUUGUUGGUAUUUCUUGAGUGAAGGUUUGGGAUAGUAAGGAAUAUAGAGGAAACUCUACCAAUUUUUUUUUGAAAUAGAAAGAGAAUGAGAUAUAAGGUGAUAGUAUAUCUUGAGAGAUUGUAUCCACGGUAAUGAUAAGAUCCGACUAAACUAGGAGUACAGUUGACUUUGGGAAAUAAGUAAAUUGCGGUAUGGGUGGUAAUUAGAAGGUCAAUACUGAUAUGGUGAGAAGAAUGGUGAUGGAUAUGAAUGUCUUAAGACUGUCUGUGAGGUAUUAAGGAUGAGAAUGACGAGGAAGGAUAAGGGGUUAAGUACGUUUGCUCCACCAGGUGGAAUUAGUCCAGAGUAAGGAUCGUAAAUAAAGGUUAAGAAAUAUUACCCUUCGGGAUUGACCAUGAGCAGAAUAUAGUGUGAAUAUAAAGAGAAUCAUCAUGGAAGUACGUAUGGCCUAGUAAUGAAGUAACUAAAGAAUGUGAUUGUGAGUAAGAUUGGGAGUCAGCAUCGAGUACACGAUAAGGAUGAAAGCUCAUGAAGAAGAAAGGGGUAUUGUGUAUAUGUACCUCCACCGUAGAAAAUAGUAAGACCUCUUAAGGAUGAGGGAGGUAGCUUUGCAAGACCAUUGAUGUGUCGCGAGUCCAUUAAGAGGAACAAGUGGUAUUCACUGGGAUGAAGAUAGUGUUAUAGCAAAUCUAGAAACACGUGUCAUCAGAGUAUAAGUGCACCGAAUGGAGAAUCGGACAUAAUUAUAAGCACUAGUGACG